rnacentral:lncRNA from 12 species
CAGUGAUUCAGCAGGUUUGGUGAAUGACUCAGGAAUCUGCAUUUCUAACAAAUACCCCAGAUGGUGCUAAGAGGGGUGGUCCACAUAUCCUUCCUUCAAGAAAUUCAGUACUGAGUAUUUUUCAUGGCUACUUUGCAAUCGAAGAGGGGAUCCAGUGUUUUGGAACAAUUUUCAUACACCUGCUAAUAGUAACAACCCACAGGUCUUCAGCCAAAAUAAACAUAGCUCUUUUCCAAAGUGCUGAAAUUAUAAAAAGUCUAAAAUGCCUCAGCUUCACUGCCAAAGGAGCAUGUGCCAGCCUUCAAUAUCCACCCAUGGAAGAAAAAGUAAACCUAAGUACACAGGUUCUAUUGGUUUUAAAAUCUAAGAAUCAACAAAAUGACUCUAACCGGCUACCCCUAGCAGAUUCUGCAGUAUAAAAAUCUACCAUCAGGAUAUACUUCUGGUCAUAAAGUUUCUCCAAUGAAGCUUAGAGGCAGUAGGUACUCAUCAUGCUUACUGGACCAAGAUAAUGAGCAUCUGGACAUUCAGUUUCUUCAAAACCACAACUUUUGGUUUCUAAUUAUUUUCAGUUUUUAAGUACCUGUUCCUCAGCAUCCUUUCCAAAAGAGUGGCUGCCCAAAUUCUGCUUGAUUUAGCAUCCUCUGUUGAGUCAUCUGGAAGAAGUGACUUGCCGAGAUAAGUCUAGGAAAAAAGGGCGAAGAAGCCAUGUAGAUGACCUAUAGUAACAUGACAUUACUAGGAGGACUGAGAACAGUA